rnacentral:rRNA from 1 species
UACGAAGGGGGCUAGCGUUGUUCGGAUUUACUGGGCGUAAAGCGCGUGUAGGCGGGUCGUUAAGUUGGAGGGGAAAUCCCGAGGCUCAACCUCGGAACUGCCUUCAAAACUGGCGCCCUGGACUCAAGUAGAGGCAAGUGGAAUUGCGAGUGUAGAGGCGAAAUUCGUAGACAUUCGCAGGAACACCAGUGGCGAAGGCGACUUGCUGGACUUGUAGUGACGCUGAGACGCGAAAGCGCGGGGAGCAACCAAG